AUUGUAGUGCAAGUGAAGAUGCUUGCUACCCGCGAUUGGACGGAAAGACCCCGUAGAGCUUUACUGUAGCUUAGCAUUGAAUCUCGGUAUUGUCUGUACAGGAUAGGUGGGAGACUUGGAAGCUUGGGCGUCAGCCUGAGUGGAGUCAUCCUUGGGAUACCACCCUGACAGUACUGGGGUUCUAACCGGCGGCCAUGAAUCUGGUCACGGGACAUUGUUAGGUGGGCAGUUUGACUGGGGCGGUCGCCUCCUAAAAAG
rnacentral:rRNA from 1 species